UGUCUCAUGGCUUAGUUGGUUACGGCGUCCGACUGUUAUCAUUUAAUGGCUACGGGAUCGGAAGAUCGAGAGUUCAAGUCUCUCUGGGACAG